rnacentral:rRNA from 1 species
AGAGUUUGAUCAUGGCUCAGAACGAACGCUGGCGGCAGGCCUAAUACAUGCAAGUCGAGCGCGCCCUUCGGGGUGAGCGGCGGACGGGUGAGUAACGCGUGGGAAUAUGCCCUUCUCUAAGGAAUAGCCUCUGGAAACGGAGAGUAAUACCUUAUACGCCCUUUGGGGGAAAGAUUUAUCGGAGAAGGAUUAGCCCGCGUUAGAUUAGGUAGUUGGUGGGGUAAUGGCCUACCAAGCCUACGAUCUAUAGCUGGUUUGAGAAGAUGAUCAGCCACACUGGGACUGAGACACGGCCCAGACUCCUACGGGAGGCAGCAGUAGGGAAUCUUAGACAAUGGGGGCAACCCUGAUCUAGCCAUGCCGCGUGUGUGAUGAAGGCCCUAGGGUCGUAAAGCACUUUCGCCAGAGAUGAUAAUGACAGUAUCUGGUAAAGAAACCCCGGCUAACUCCGUGCCAGCAGCCGCGGUAAUACGGAGGGGGUUAGCGUUGUUCGGAAUUACUGGGCGUAAAGCGCACGUAGGCGGAUUAGUAAGUUAAAGGUGAAAUCCCAGGGCUCAACCCUGGAACUGCCUUUAAUACUGCUAGUCUUGAGUUCGAGAGAGGUAAGUGGAAUUCCGAGUGUAGAGGUGAAAUUCGUAGAUAUUCGGAGGAACACCAGUGGCGAAGGCGGCUUACUGGCUCGAUACUGACGCUGAGGUGCGAAAGUGUGGGGAGCAAACAGGAUUAGAUACCCUGGUAGUCCACACCGUAAAC